AAAAAGUUCCGACUAAUGUUGUGCCAGCAGUCGCGGUAAUACAGCAGGAACUAGCGUUAUUUAGCAUAAAUGGGCGUAAAGCGUUUGUGGUUGGUAUAAAGUUGUUAGGUGUUAAAUUUCAUGGCGUAACUUUGAAACAGCGCUUAAAACGUUUAUACUAGAGUGCAAUGUAAGACAUUGGAAUUUUACAAGAAGAGGUAAAAUUUUUAGAACUGUAAAAGAACCUCAAAAGCAAAGGCUGUUGUCUAGGUUGUUGACUGACAUUAAGAAACGAAAGUGUGGUUAUCAAACAGGACUAGAUACCCUGGUAGUCUACACCCUAAAUUAUGAGUGUUAACCCUUAGUGUAUUUAAACAUUAGGCGUUUUUGUUAACUUGUUAAGCACUCCGCCUGAAAAGUAUAAUUACAAGAUGGAACUUCAAAGGAAUUGACGGGGAUCAAUUACCAGUGGUGGAGCAUGUUGUUUAAUGCGAUAGUACACGCUAAACCUUACCAGUUUUUGAUGG
rnacentral:rRNA from 1 species